CAAUAGCGUAUAUUAAAGUUGUUGCAGUUAAAAAGCUCGUAGUUGGAUCUGUGGCGUACGGUGUGUUCCGGGCACUUGUUGUCUGAGUAACCUGCUGUUGCCAUCCUUGGGUGGAACCUGUGUGGCAUUAGGUUGUCGUGCAGGGGAUGCCCAUCAUUUACUGUGAAAAAAUUAGAGUGUUCAAAGCAGGCUUAUGCCGUUGAAUAUAUUAGCAUGGAAUAAUGAGAUAGGACUUUUUUGCUAUUUUGUUGGUUUGCGCAAAGAGGUAAUGAUUAAUAGGGACAGUUGGGGGUAUUCGUAUUCCAUUGUCAGAGGUGAAAUUCUUGGAUUUUUGGAAGACGAACUACUGCGAAAGCAUUUACCAAGGAUGUUUUCAUUAA
rnacentral:rRNA from 1 species